rnacentral:tRNA from 1 species
CAUUUCUUGGGUGGUGGCGUGUCGCCCUUUUGCGGCAGAGGCUGAUCGAGACCCGGUUCGACUGGGGUAGGAAUGGC